CAGUAGCCGCGGUAAUACGGAGGGUGCAAGCGUUAAUCGGAAUUACUGGGCGUAAAGCGCACGCAGGCGGUCUGACAAGUCAGAUGUGAAAUCCCCGGGCUUAACCUGGGAACUGCAUUUGAAACUGUCAGGCUGGAGUCUUGUAGAGGGGGGUGGAAUUCCAGGUGUAGCGGUGAAAUGCGUAGAGAUCUGGAGGAAUACCGGUGGCGAAGGCGGCCCCCUGGACAAAGACUGACGCUCAGGUGCGAAAGCGUGGGGAGCAAACAGGAUUAGAGACCCCUGUAGUCCCUGUCUCUUAUAC
rnacentral:rRNA from 1 species